AUGUCUUCACGCCAUCACCGCGUCUUCACCUCUAUCUCAGCUUCAGUUCAAUGCUUCCUCACCCUCGCUUGGGACAACAACAUCUGUUCGCCAUCUUUGUCGAUGGAUGGUGUUGUACCCCAAAAUUUGCCCUCCCAUUUCAUCAACAUUUCACAUCACAAGACUCUUGGAACUCAAGAUCAAGCUAGGGUUUGCUCUGCUCAAGACACCUCCUUGCACUGUUGA